rnacentral:rRNA from 1 species
GAUUUCCCUAGUAACGGCGAGCGAACCGGAAAGAGCCCAGCUUGAAAAUCGCGUGGUUCCGCCCCGCGAAUUGUAGUCUGGAGAAGCGUCCUCUGCAACGGACCGGACCCAAGUUCCCUGGAACGGGACGUCAGAGAGGGUGAGAACCCCGUCGAGUUCGGACCCUGUUGCUCCACGAGGCGCUGUCUGCGAGUCGGGCUGUUUGGGAAUGCAGCCCUAAGUGGGAGGUAAAUUCCUUCUAAGGCUAAAUACAGGCAAGAGACCGAUAGCGAACAAGUACCGCGAGGGAAAGAUGAAAAGGACUUUGAAAAGAGAGUUAAAAAGUGCUUGAAAUUGCUGGGAGGGAAGCGAAUGGAAGCUGCGGGUGCGCCUCGGUUGGAUGCGGAACGGCGAGAGCUGGUCCGCCGCUCAACGCGGGGCGCUGGUCAGCGUGGGCCAUCGCGGCGGGACAAGAGCCGGCUUUGUUGCCGGCCUAUGCCGUUGUGGUGGCCGAGGGACGAAGCGCGCGCCACUCGUGGCGGGCCUCAGGGCACCUGCGCGCUCGGGACGCUGGCGUAUUGAGCUCUCCAUCCGACCCGUCUUGAAACACGGACCAAGGAGUCUAACAUGUAUGCGAGCCGGUGGGCGGCAAACCCAUUGAGGCGCAAGGAACCUGACAGGUGGGAUCCCCUCGGGGAGCACCAUCGACCGACCGUGAUCUUCUGUGAAAGGUUUGAGUGUGAGCAUACCUGCUGGGACCCGAAAGAUGGUGAACUAUGCCUGAGCAGGGCGAAGCCAGAGGAAACUCUGGUGGAGGCUCGUAGCGAUACUGACGUGCAAAUCGUUCGUCAGACUUGGGUAUAGGGGCGAAAGACUAAUCGAACCAUCUAGUAGCUGGUUCCCUCCGAAGUUUCCCUCAGGAUAGCUGGAGCUCAUGAAGUUUUAUCAGGUAAAGCGAAUGAUUAGAGGCAUCGGGGGUGUAACACCCUCGACCUAUUCUCAAACUUUAAAUAGGUAAGCCGCCAGGGUUGCUUGGUUGAACCCUGGCACAGAAUGAGAGCUCCAAGUGGGCCAU